UACAGAGGGUGCGAGCGUUGUCCGGAAUCACUGGGCGUAAAGGGCGCGUAGGUGGUGCCCCAAGUCCGUGGUGAAAGCUCGAUGCUCAACAUCGAGUCGGCCACGGAAACUGGGGGGCUCGAGCACUGUAGAGGCAGAUGGAAUUCCGGGUGUAGCGGUGGAAUGCGUAGAGAUCCGGAAGAACACCGGUGGCGAAGGCGGUCUGCUGGGCAGUAGCUGACACUGAGGCGCGACAGCGUGGGGAGCAAACAGG
rnacentral:rRNA from 1 species